rnacentral:rRNA from 1 species
AUUGAACGCUGGCGGCAGGCCUAACACAUGCAAGUCGAGCGGAUGAAGGGAGCUUGCUCCUGGAUUCAGCGGCGGACGGGUGAGUAAUGCCUAGGAAUCUGCCUGGUAGUGGGGGAUAACGUCCGGAAACGGGCGCUAAUACCGCAUACGUCCUGAGGGAGAAAGUGGGGGAUCUUCGGACCUCACGCUCUCAGAUGAGCCUAGGUCGGAUUAGCUAGUUGGUGGGGUAAAGGCCUACCAAGGCGACGAUCCGUAACUGGUCUGAGAGGAUGAUCAGUCACACUGGAACUGAGACACGGUCCAGACUCCUACGGGAGGCAGCAGUGGGGAAUAUUGGACAAUAGGCGAAAGCCUGAUCCAGCCAUGCCGCGUGUGUGAAGAAGGUCUUCGGAUUGUAAAGCACUUUAAGUUGGGAGGAAGGGCAGUAAGUUAAUACCUUGCUGUUUUGACGUUACCAACAGAAUAAGCACCGGCUAACUUCGUG